UUUACAUAUACCUCUCCAGUGGUUAGAGCGUCCGCCUCGGAUGCGGGAGGUCGCGGGUUCGAACUCUUGCCGAGUCAUAUCAAAG